rnacentral:rRNA from 1 species
ACGGGAUAAGUGCUGAAAGCAUCUAAGCAUGAAGCCCCCCUCAAGAUGAGAUUUCCCAACUUCGAUUAUAAGAUCCCUCAAAGAUGAUGAGGUUAAUAGGUUCGAGGUGGAAGCGUGGUGACACGUGGAGCUGACGAAUACUAAUCGAUCGAAGACUUAAUCAA